GACGAACGCUGGCGGCGUGCUUAACACAUGCAAGUCGAACGGAAAGGCCCUGCUUUUGUGGGGUGCUCGAGUGGCGAACGGGUGAGUAACACGUGAGUAACCUGCCCUUGACUUUGGGAUAACUUCAGGAAACUGGGGCUAAUACCGGAUAGGAGCUCCUGCUGCAUGGUGGGGGUUGGAAAGUUUCGGCGGUUGGGGAUGGACUCGCGGCUUAUCAGCUUGUUGGUGGGGUAGUGGCUUACCAAGGCUUUGACGGGUAGCCGGCCUGAGAGGGUGACCGGCCACAUGGGGACUGAGAUACGGCCCAGACUCCUACGGGAGGAAGCAGUGGGGAAUAUUGCACAAUGGGCGGAAGCCUGAUGCAGCAACGCCGCGUGCGGGAUGACGGCCUUCGGGUUGAAAACCGCUUUCGCCUGUGACGAAGCGUGAGUGACGGUAAUGGGUAAUGAAGCACCGGCUAACUACG
rnacentral:rRNA from 1 species